GAUGUCACUUCCAAAACAUUUGACAAAAUUUGAACGACCCAGAGAAGAUUAGCAUGGUUCCUGUGCAAGGAUGACAUGGACAAAAGAAUUUCUAGAAUGACUA